AUUGAACGCUGGCGGCAUGCCUUACACAUGCAAGUCGAACGGUAACAGGUCUUCGGAUGCUGACGAGUGGCGAACGGGUGAGUAAUACAUCGGAACGUGCCCGAUCGUGGGGGAUAACGGAGCGAAAGCUUUGCUAAUACCGCAUACGAUCUACGGAUGAAAGCAGGGGACCGCAAGGCCUUGCGCGGACGGAGCGGCCGAUGGCAGAUUAGGUAGUUGGUGGGAUAAAAGCUUACCAAGCCGACGAUCUGUAGCUGGUCUGAGAGGACGACCAGCCACACUGGGACUGAGACACGGCACAGACUCCUACGGGAGGCAGCAGUGGGGAAUUUUGGACAAUGGGCGAAAGCCUGAUCCAGCCAUGCCGCGUGCAGGAUGAAGGCCUUCGGGUUGUAAACUGCUUUUGUACGGAACGAAAAGCCUCUUUCUAAUAAAGAGAGGUCAUGACGGUACCGUAAGAAUAAGCACCGGCUAACUACGUGCCAGCCGCCGCCGUAACAC
rnacentral:rRNA from 1 species